rnacentral:tRNA from 3 species
UGGGCCGUCGCCAAGCGGUAAGGCACGGGGUUUUGAUCUCCGCAUACCCAGGUUCGAAUCCUGGCGGCCCAGCCA